rnacentral:rRNA from 1 species
UACGGGGGAUGCGAGCGUUAUCCGGAUUUAUUGGGUUUAAAGGGUGCGCAGGCGGUGCCUUAAGUCAGCGGUGAAAUGUCCCGGCUCAACCGGGGAGCUGCCGUUGAUACUGGGGUGCUGGAGAGCGGACGUCGCCGGCGGAAUGAGUGGUGUAGCGGUGAAAUGCAUAGAUAUCACUCAGAACACCGAUCGCGAAGGCAGCUGGCGGGGCCGUUACUGACGCUGAGGCACGAAAGCGUGGGGAUCAAAC